GUUCCUGAAAGUAGGACGACGACGUUGGUCACGCUCGAUGGUUCUUAGCAGGAGCAAGCGCGUACCUGUAAUUAUUCGCGCGAGUUUGCUCGUUUUUUCAGUGAAAUCUGCGCGACUCGUCCGCUCGAUUCAUCGUCGGCGGGUGACAGCGAUCGACAGCGUUCGCGAGAGCGAACGCUAUAUGCGCACUUCUCGCCGCCGAAUCGCGGGAAUUCGCGAGAUUACAGAGUUCGCGAUCACGCGACACAUAAGACCAACGUGGCGAUUUGAUACGAAGCGCGAAUUAAAUCGUCAUUUCGUGACGCGUCAGCGUACCAGUGCGCGAUAUGUUAAUUUCAUGUUAACUUUAAGGCCGCGAAUCGGUCGUUUCCGGCAAUAUUUCAUCGUACGUCAUCCAGCGAUUUAGGAAUAUUAGGUUUUCGAAUAUUUGAGGAGAGAACGCGAGGAUCUACUUAUUCUCAAAUUUUAAGCAUUUUUUUGCAUCGAGAAAUUCGAGAAAUCGAAAAAUUCAGGAUUAGAAUACCUGAGAGUGUAUCUGUACAAUUUUUACAAUAUCUAACAUCUAAUAAUUUAUACCUACAAGGAUUCACAAAGAAUCUAAAAUUUAAAUCUAUAAGGAUCCAGUAAUCAAAAAUUACUAAUGUUUUGAAUCCGAAGAGAACUCAAGGAUGAUCUAGGAAUAAAAAUGCAAGUGCUAUUCAAGAUAGCGCAGUUAUAUGCGACGUUAAAGGACAUGAGCAAGUCGGACUCACAGUAACCAAGCCACUGGGAGUACAAAUUCGGCAUAUUCUAUAUAUACGUACAAUGGUCCAGAGACGCUCGUUACUGAGGAGGUACCCGAGGAUCCAAAACGCCACUCGAAAGCUCGAAAGGUGCGGCUGAUCGAGCUUGCCGCUCGGCGUAGAAAGGAAAACCGAGAAGGAGGCUCAAGUACGUAUUCGUACGUGUCAAUGAAUAACUCGCGAUGUAAACAGGUACGUGGGUGACUUAGGCGCGAUUGCGAGCACCGUUCGCCACGGCAGUUCGUGCGGCACUGUCGCCACACCGUCGCGAGGUCGUCGAGCUUCGUUGCUUCUAGCAACCAGUACCUAGCGCGUAUCUAACGUUUUAACCCUAACAUACCGCGACCUCUUCGACCUGGUUAACUGUGGGCGCGUCGGCGUUCUGUCCUAAUUUGAACCCUGAAACACUGAAACGAGUCAAUUAUGCGCCUGGCUCAGCGUUUCCUUCAACUUCGCCCUAUCACAUACUCCGUUUUCGCAGUCUUCUAGAGUCACAGGAUGCUCGGCCAAGUAGAAGGUAACUUUGAAGGGGGAGUCUUCAGAUUCGCAUCUGAAACGAGAUGUUUCCACGAUCGUUCGUUCAGGGAUGAUAAAAGAGUAGUCGCAUGUGUCCUUGCCGAUAUUCAUCGAGGUAAAGAACAGCAUCGCCUCUAUCGAAUGCGAAAAGUAGAACGAGCCCUUUGGUUCGUCGGUGUCUUUCGCGUGCUCCAAUUUCCUACAAGAUUGAAUACAGAAUACUAGAAAAGAACAGGAAAAGCUCAUGACACGAAAUCUAGCUCUCACGAAUCACGAAGUCCGUGGCCGGCGUUAUAGUAGUAAAAGAGAUCCUCGUUCUCAAAGACGCGCAUCUCAUCGUCUGUAAAUGCGGCGCAUCAGAGCGACAACCUGUCUGGAUACCAAUUUUUUUCGAAGCGACACAUGUCGUACAAGUCGAAAAUGUCAGCUAGAAUCGUCCACUAUCGUAAUAGAAAUGAAAAAAGAUAAAUCCAUAGUCGAGAGAUCGAAAUACAAAACUGGGAAAUUGUUACCUCCAACAUAACACUCUUAGUCAUCAACUCUUCUAUCUGCAUGAUUGCGACGAAGUCAUUGUCGAAUGCUCCUGAUAUGAAGGAAUUCAUGCGGACGACGGUUUAUUCGCGUCGAAGAGCUCCGGAAAUCUUAUUCUGAAUUACUGAGUGUUAACAAAUCUCUUGCCUUGCGACGUCAGUAAUUUGUGGUAUAAAACAAUGAGAUCAUCAUCAAGUCACCAGUUCUUUAGGUUUUGUAAGUCCUGACCACACAAAUAUCCUUCUAUGAAUCGAAGAAAAAAAUCGAAUUUUAUUUGAUCAGUUCCCACAUAGCAGAGAUGUCCAAAAUAUAUCAUAGGGAUAUCCUAAAGAUAUAUUUGGGAUAUGCGAUAUCUUCAAGAUAUUCCUAUGAUGUAUUUGAGAUAUUCUUGCUGUGUGGGGUUUAAACCGUUCGAUUUAUUGCCACAUUUUUAUCGGGCCUUAAACAAUAGUUCAUAAAAUAAAUAUUUCUCGCUUUUUUCACAGCUUUACAUCGCUGUUCUAUUUUCACGAUAUAUAAAUAUUCUUAAACACCCAGACUAGUAUCAAUUUACUUACGUUUGUGGAUCUUGUGAUUUUCUAUGAUACGAUUUUGCAUGUGUGUCAAAUUUAACAUUUUUAAUAUUCUGUUUCGGUGUGGAUAUCGAGUGCCGUGCCUACAGAACUCCCAUAUAUAUAUCGGUUUACAAUCUGAAACAGAAAAAUAGUCUUUGUAUCGUAAAGAAACAAACGAAAGAGCUUUGCGAUUAUCUUAAUGUGUGCUUGACGAUUCUUUAAUUUCUUUUAUUAUCUUUAUAAAACUUUGAUUUAAAUCUUGAUUCUUUAAACAAACGUAAGUUUAUUUGAUUCUUUAAACAAACUUAAGUUUAUUUUGUCACCUCGCGAUUUUUAAAUUUAUAUACAAGAAAAUUUUUCUUUAAUUUUAUAUAUUUUAGAUACUCACUUGGCAAAGUAAUACGUUCUACGAUGUUGUUAUGAAUAUACUGAUGCGCUGUUUUAGUGCCAGUAUAGAUGUAAGGAUUUCUAUUAUCAGCGUAACAGGAUUCGUUCUCUUGUGUCAUCGUGUCUCUCUCCAGAUACACCAAAACAAAGCAGCGGAAGAUCUGCUUAUAUAUUCUAGAAAAGUCCAUGUUCGACGAUGGACACUCUUGUAUUUGUAAAUUCGAUUCAAAUAUAUUUCUUUACGAGUAGAAUGUUCGUCUGAUCGUCCAGCUCGCCUGGCGGAGAGAUAUCGCGAACGAGGUUUUUCCUCAGCUCGUUGAUACACGACAACUAUUUCUGUGUUCUACACAUGAAUAUCAAAUGUUUUUUUUUCUUUUCAUAAAUUAUCUCGAACAUUAUCUCGCAUAAUUAUACUUCACGCCAUGUGUGUCAUGAGUAAACUGUUAUUCGAAGAAAAUUCGGCUCUUUAACGUAAGUUAUAAUAGCUAAUAAUAUCUUUAAAGUGAUAAUUAAUCGAUUAAUAUUCGUGACAUAACGCGCAUCUUAAUUUUCUAUAAUAAUUCCGAAAUAUCGCAGGUUACUCGUAAUAAAGACCGAACACGCAGCAAUGAGCAUAAAAGGUCCGACCCUCGAUGGAGAAAAUGGAAUAGUUAUCCUUCUCGCUGUCCCACAAAUAUCCGAUGGUCGUUUCCACUGACUGACUGGCCUUCUCAAUAAUCGUAACGACGACGAUAAUUUUGUGUCUGGAACGAUAAAUUACCCAUCAAGCGUGAUGAAUGCCUCUCUGUAUCUCCUAAGUAUAUUUUUAAGAAUGUUCUUUCAAUUAUAGUGUUGGGGAAUUGGAAAAAAGCGGUCUCUCUCUCUUCGAAGAUACACUUUGUAGAGUUCAUAUCUAUCAUUGUUACUGAUGCUUAGCUUUUUUAUUGUAUUAGAGUUUACAUGUUUACGUUAAAGUAAAAUUUUUUGUAACUCGUUUAGUUGCAAACAAUACUGAAAAUUAGGAAAGUCGGUAUCCUUUUCCUCAAAAGUUUCCCUCAAAAGAAAUCGCAAUCUAACUAGAACACCUUGUGCAUUUGAGAUUUAAAUUUUCAGCGCACCUGUUGAAGUUGAGCUUCUUCACACGUCGACGUAUCUCCGACGCGAUUUCACCACACAAUUUCACACUCUCCGCGUCAUCAUAAGUGAGCUCAUCUAAACGACUAUUCAUCACUGAUUGCACGAUUUUGUCCACUUCGUCAACUUUGAAAGGAUUCUGUGAUUCCAUACACAUCGGUUAAACUUGAAUUGCACAAAAUGCGACAAUAUGUUACCGGAGUCGAAAGAGUAAGCCUGUCUCAAAGAUUUUCGAAAAGCACCGGUGACUUUCAAAAGAAUCUAUGGACGUGUCAGAGUCCCUGGGGAUCUUUCGAGUUUACUGAGCACCCCGGACAAGUUCUGAAAAUCUCAAAGGAUUUCGGAGAUAUAAGGAUAAAAAGUUUCACAUGUGCUGCACGUGUGGAGUGCGCGAAGCGUAACUCCCGGGUUCAAAUUCGCAAUCUUUCGAUUCACUUGCGCGAAAAUACUCCUUCUAAUAUAUAUAUAUAUAUAUAUAUAUAUAUAUAUAUAUAUAUAUACUCAUUAUUACAUUUAUUGACAGACAUGUGUCAAUUCCAUUCACAAAUCUCUGUGACGCAAAUUAGUGCGGUCAUUAUUCUUCAAGUUUUGUUCUCCAUUAUGCAAGUCCAAAUAGCGAGAUAAUUCCGUUAUCGUUGGCAAUUAUUAAUUAACCAUUAUUAAUUAACUAAAGUAAUCUAUCGAACUGAAUUGAUUAAAAUAACUCGCUAAACUGAACUAAUGAGCCAUGAAAUUUCUAAUGAAAUAAAUUAUGCGACGGAGCACCUCUACGGAGAAAUUGUGCGUAAGCAAUGAGAGAUUUUAUACAGAUAAAUCGUACAUUAAAAAAAAAAACUUAUUUAAAACAAGAAAAAACGAUUAUAUAUACAAUUUUACAUAUAAAUAUAUAGGUAAUCACAAUCUAAUAUACGAAGAAACAACAAUGUACAUAAUCAAAUGUUUAACUCAACGUACUCUCAGCGACUCAUGUGUAAAGAACAGCGAAUAUGAUAUUAACGUCCUCUUCAUCAUCGAGAUUCAUCCUCGUUUAUUAUGGAUGGUUAUGCGAUUUGACAUUCGCUGUACACCUCUGCGGAAUUAGCGACGAGCUAUUAGCGUCGUGGCUCUGUGAGGUAGGCGACGAAACGUUACUGUAUUCAAUGUGAAAAUUCUCUGUAAGAUCGAAGCAAGUCCCUAUCAUCAGCGGAUUCUCUUCGGAGAUCGAGUAACGAGUGUAUUGCGAGGAGAACUCUCGAUGACAUUUAAUAUUAAAUAUUUAUGAUAAUCACGAUGUGUCAAAUAUUUAAUAUUAAAUAUUUAGCAAUAUAUUCUUUCCGUAGAGUCAGCAGCGAAGCGAGGCGAAACGAUGGAAUCCUAAGACAGCAGUUCUACCUCCGCUUGAAUAUUCUGGCGCGCCUGUUCUUCCAGUUUGUCGCGGAAUUCCAUAGUGGCGAAGAUGUUCGGAAUUUGCAAGAAGUUCUGCAAUACCUUAAAAUCGUAGCGCCGUGUACAUGGGCUCACUGAGGAAAUAAUACUCUCCACGUAUUCGUUCCCUAUACUCUGCAUAACUCUCCGGCGAGGAUCCCAGCACUGCCAUGUCCAAGUCCAAGAAGUAGUGAGCAUCUUCACCACCGAAAGCA